ensembl:snoRNA
CGGGUGAUGAAGGCCUGGCGCGGACCCCCCCCCCCCGCUCUGCCCCUGAAG